UACGUAGGGUGCGAGCGUUGUCCGGAAUUAUUGGGCGUAAAGGGCUCGUAGGCGGUUUGUCGCGUCGGGAGUGAAAACCUUGGGCUUAACUCAGGGCUUGCUUUCGAUACGGGCAGACUAGAGGUAUGCAGGGGAGAACGGAAUUCCUGGUGUAGCGGUGAAAUGCGCAGAUAUCGGGAGGGACACCAGUAGCGAAGGCGGCACUCUGGGCCGGUACUGACGCUGAGGAGCGAAAGCGUGGGGAGCGAACAGG
rnacentral:rRNA from 1 species